CUCCAAUUGAAGAGUCCGAAAUAGGACAAAACGCGAUUCCUGUAU
rnacentral:hammerhead_ribozyme from 1 species